GACGAACGCUGGCGGCGUGCUUAACACAUGCAAGUCGAACGGAAAGGCCCUGCUUUUGUGGGGUGCUCGAGUGGCGAACGGGUGAGUAACACGUGAGUAACCUGCCCUUGACUUUGGGAUAACUUCAGGAAACUGGGGCUAAUACCGGAUAGGAGCUCCUGCUGCAUGGUGGGGGCUGGAAAGUUUCGGCGGUUGGGGAUGGACUCGCGGCUUAUCAGCUGGUUGGUGGGGUAGUGGCUUACCAAGGCUUUGACGGGUAGCCGGCCUGAGAGGGUGACCGGCAACAUUGGGACUGAGAUAAGGCCCAGACUACUACGGGAGGCAGCAGUGGGGAAGAUUGCACAAGGGGGGGAAGACGGAUGCAGCAACGCCGCGUGCGGGAUGACGGCGUUCGGGUUGUAAACAGCUUUCGCCUGUGACGAAGCGUGAGUGACGGUAAUGGGUAAAGAAGCACCGGCUAACUACGUG
rnacentral:rRNA from 1 species